UACGUAGGGUGCAAGCGUUAUCCGGAUUCACUGGGUUUAAAGGGUGCGUAGGCGGGCAGGUAAGUCCGUGGUGAAAUCUCUGAGCUUAACUCAGAAACUGCCAUGGAUACUAUUUGUCUUGAAUGUUGUGGAGGUAAGCGGAAUAUGUCAUGUAGCGGUGAAAUGCUUAGAUAUGACAUAGAACACCAAUUGCGAAGGCAGCUUACUGGACAAAUAUUGACGCUGAGGCACGAAAGCGUGGGGAGCAAACAGG
rnacentral:rRNA from 1 species